UUGCAGCCUGAAAAGUUUUGCAUGGAAUAAUGGAAUAGGACUUCGGUUCUAUUUUGUUGGUUUUCGGAUCCGAAGUAAUGAUCAAAAGAGACAGGCGGGGACGUUUGUAUGGUUGCGCUAGAGGUGAAAUUCAUGGACCGUAACCAGACAGACUAAAGCGAAAGCAUUCGUCAAGCAUGUUUUCAUUGGCCAUGAGCGAAAGUCAGAGGCUCGAAGACGAUCAGAUACCGUCCUAGUUCUGACCAUAAACGAUGCCAACUGACGAUCCGUGGUGGUAGUUCAUCAACCUUCCCCACGGGCAGUCCCCGGGAAACCUUUAAGUCUUUGGGUUCCGGGGGAAGUAUGGUUGCAAAGCUGAAACUUAAAGGAAUUGACGGAAGGGCACCACCAGGAGUGGAGCCUGCGGCUUAAUUUGACUCAACACGGGAAAACUCACCCGGCCCGGACACUAUGAGGAUUGACAGAUUGAAAGC
rnacentral:rRNA from 1 species